rnacentral:rRNA from 1 species
UACAGGGGGGGCUAGUGUUAUUCAGCGUUACUGGGCGUAAAGGGCACGUAGACUAUUUUUGUUGAUUAGAUCUGAAAUUCUAGAUUUUCUCUAGAAGGGGGUUUAAUACCAGUAGAUUAGAGUUUAUGAAGGGGUGGAGGUACGGUUAGUGUAGGGGUAAAAUCCGUCGAUACUAAUUGGAACGCCAGUCAGUGAAGACAUCUGCCUUUUGUAGACUGACGUUGAGGUGCGAAGGCAUGGGUAGCGAGCGGG